UCCUCCUGCGCCGUGCCCGACCGUGCCGGGGCACCUUGGUCCCGCACACCCCGCUUUGCCCCAGGGCUUCAUCCUGCCCUGCAGCAGGCUCGCCGGAGCCGUCAGCGCGGGCCCUUGUCAGGCACGCUCAUAGGAGGACAACAAGUGUUUAUUUAAGUGCGUCAGAUUGCUGCCCUUGCUUCAGCUGUGUUUUUCUGGAUACACCUUCGCUAUUUUUUGUUCUUCAAAGAUCUGACUCUUCUGGUUACAGCAGGGCUGUUUUUAAAUCAGGCUACGAGUGUUAACUCCAGCUCAUGGUCAAGCCGUGACUGCUUCAGCCUGCCCUACCUCUUGCAGUUUUGGCUCCGGACAGGCAGCUGAAACAACUCCGCAAAAUGUAAUCAUCUCAUUUGGAUCAAAUUAUGAAGCUUUCAGAAAAAGGGAAAAUACAUUGUCCUUCCCCCACCAGCACUACAACAAUGAAUAAAGGUACAGAACAGAAUACGGAGCAUAAAUGUAUCAACCUGGCAUUGUUUGUUGCUUCUGUGUCAGAGGAGACAGUUUGCCCUGGUUGAUUUCCCCAUGACCUGCAAAGAUGGAGCAAGUCCAGGCAUUUGAAUCGAAUUUUAACUUCAAGUGAUGAAUGCUCAGCUACCUGAUAAAUUCCACUUUUGGAUGCAGCUUUCCUGGAGUGAUAAGCAGAUGUGUGCCUACUUUAGCAGCGAGCAUGUGUAGCUUUCUUAGUUGAGUGACCUAAGAUCUUUCCUUUGCUUUUGAGCACAUUAUCUUUACAUCUACAAGAGGUUGUUUUGGGGUACAAAACAUUUCAAGUGAAAAAUACAUAGAUAAGCAUAUAAAUGUCAGAAAGAUACUGGAGGUUAUGUUGCCAAAUACUCAGAAAUACGAGGGAGAUUGAGUGAAUGUGGACGAUAACAAGUGACCAUGGAGGCAAUACAUGGUUAUUUAUUCAGUGAUAAUUACAAGAGUAAACAAAAGACCGUGAAGUAGUCUGUAGAGUUGUUGAUGUCCUCCUAUUAUUUACCAAGCAAAAACUAGAUCUCAGUCUUCUUCCUAUUGAUAGCAAAUACCUUCUCCUAGAGAAAGAGUAACAAUUCCCAUGGGUAAAGAUUUCCUUCCUACUUUCACUGUCUCAGAAGACCUUGAUCUGGGUUGUGGCUGCUGACUGGAUAAAUUCAGUAUCGUCUGAAACAUCACAGAUUAAAUUAUGCAAUGCAUUAUGCAAACAUGAACAGAAGUAAUCCAAAGUAAUAUAAGAGAUUGGGAAAAUGAGAGCAUGUGAGAAAAUGAGAAUAGGGAAAGAACGUGGAAAUACAGCUAAGACAGAAUAUGUUAAAUGUUCAUGUCUAAUGGAAGAGACAGGCCAGAGCAGAAUGGUUCCAAAAGAUGAUUGUAUGCUCACUGCAUGUAGUGCAUGGUAAAAAUGAAUGCACUUGCAAUUGCUUCUGGCAGUAAAGCUGGCCACAGUAAAUCCAGGCCUCCCAUAAAGACAGAGGAAAUUAUAUGGCAUGCUUACUAAAGCUGGUGAAACAAUAAAACAUUGGAAGCUCUCAUUGCUGGAAAGAUACUGGCAAUUUGGAAUGAAUUUAUAGGAAACUGGCAAGAAGUGGAUUGCCAGAGAUAGAGAUACUUGUUUAGAAGGAAUCAGAAGAUUUAAAUAUGUCUAACUUGGCAGUAAUGUCCAGCUAUUUUAAUAAUGUGACUACCAAAGGAGGGAAUAAUCUGCAAUUGCUUUCAACAUUCAAGGGUAGAGUUAUCAUGAUAAUAUUAAAUCUUCUGCAGCUUUGAUCCCUGAAAUGGAUCAAAGGCCUAUAAAAGCUUCUCCAGCUAAAACCACCGUGAAAAAUAUAAGCAGGAAACCAUUAAGUUCUUAAAUAGCAAAUAUUGUUGUUGGAUUGAAAUGAUUUUCUUUUGAUUUUGGACUAUUACUUCUUUUUAUUUGGUUUGUAGAAUGAUAAGCACAUACACCUCUUUCCAACUCUAGGUGCCUUUAAACGCUUUAAAAUCACAGAAAACUUCAGUAAAUUGACACAAGUUCUGUUUGCUGGUCACCACUGUCAUAACUGCUAGCACUAUUUCUUCUGCUGAAUAUUACAUUACCAUAAUUUCUGAACUCAUACUUUAAUUUUGUCCCUAUCAGCCAAAUAAAGGCAGGUGCUUUGCAGAAUAUAUCAGUGGUUGAAGCUUGUUGUGCUCAAGAGCGAAGUGCUAAGCUAAGGAGGCUGUGUAAUGUAUAAGCAGAUUUUUCUCCUGAAUUGAAAAACUUGUGCUGUGUACUUCUGGUUACAUCAGCUGUAGCACAGAGAAAGGUAAAAAGGCAAUGCUUCAGAAAAAAAACUUUAACUGAAAUAAUUUGGAGCUUCAAAGUUAAAGACAAUACCCUGAAUUCUGCCCAGAGCCCCAGGCAAGUGGUGCAGCUUGACACCAACUGCUGUAAAUGUAUUUGUCCUUAAUAUUCAGAUUAUCAAUGCUGCUUUAAAUUAUCUCAGUUUAUAAACAGAAAAUUGGUAGUAUCCUACUCAUUGGUUUAAAAUGGGACAUGACCAGGUCCCUCCAAAAUAAAAGCUUUUAUUUAUUUUUCCAAGCAUUAAUUUCAGAAUUAAGAGCACUUCUGUUGCUUCCCAGGUACCCAGGAAAAGGUAUUGCUCCCACCGAAUUUAUGGAUCCUGGUUCAACACGAUACUUAAGCUGGUGCCUAAUUUUAGGUACUAGCCAGCUGUAAAAAACUCAGCCUGCUUCCUUAAAAUGUACUCGUGUGCUUAUUAACUUCAUCAGAUAACGCUCUGAAUUGCAAAUCUAAUUCUCCAAUAGGAGCUGCAUUUUUUCAAAGCAAAUGUCUUUGCUGAAUUUUGGUGUUUCUCUCACUCUGUCAAAAUUUAGAAAGCCCUGUUCAGACAGGAUUGGAAUGGGAUUUGUAUGAAAUGUCCUGUGGGAAAUACAGCUAUGAUGUUAAAGGAAAAAACCCUGAACCCAUAAGUAUCAUAUAUAUAUAUAUAUAUAUAUACAUACUUCAAUAAUUUGUUUCUUCCUAACAUCCAUGUUGCUGUUGCCCAAAUUCUGUUUAGUGUCCUUAUCCUGACAUGAACAUAGACCCAUGGCCCUUCCUUUCUGAAUUCUUUUACCCUCGAGAUUUUCUAAUACUGUUCCAUGCUUUGCCAUACUUUAUUUUUCAUGUUUUUGUUUAGUAAUUUUACACCAUAUUUAAAUUUUAUCUACCUCCCUGCCCCCCCCUUUCUUGGUGCCAUAUGCAGAUAAGAUUGAUUCUCUCUGCACAAAAGUCUUCAGUUCAGUUAUAUAAUUUGGGAUCGAGAACUGACCCCUGCUGCAAGUCCCAGCUCAACAGCUCUUCUUAGAAGUCAGCAAACUGUUAUUAUAAUUAUUCUGUCUUCACAAAUUCCAGACUUCUAUAGCUACUUUGAAAGAUUUGAAUAUAAACCUCCUUCCUAUCAUUCUUUGUGAGACUAUCACAUGAAAAUGUAGAAGGUAUCUUGCAGAGUAGGUGUCCGUGCUCACAGUGUUUCCCCUGUCUGUAAAGUGUCAAUAAUUUGACGCACGCAAUGUGAAAUUGAGCACUCACACCUGAAGACAGUCUAAAAUGUAAUAACUUUCCAUUGCAUUAAUAUGCACGGGCCUCACAUAUUAUAUAUUUAACUCAGGUUUAACAGGACACUUGAAAAUCUAUAUUUAACAGGGAAACAGGAAUAUAGCAUAUUUAUUUCAGAGAAAAUUUAACUUUCGGGAUUCCUUGAUUACUGAGUACUUGAUUUUAAAAGAUGUAGCUUGCAUCUUUAUUAGUAUAACUUGACUAUUAUUUUAAAAUAAAUAAUGGUAAUAGUUGCUUUGGAAUAUUUUAAAAAGGGUUCUUCAACUAUGCUAUGUACAAGCUUUUCACAAAGGUGCGAGCCAGGUCUUUUUCUAAAUAUUACCGUUUUCCUACCCUUUUCUGUGGAACAGUUGCACUGCUCAAAUUUAAAUUUAUCUCAUGCUUCAACAGUUCAGCUUAUAAAUUUCUGUACCCCGUAGCUGGACAGUUAUCAUCUAAUAGAUCACAUCUGUCAUUAUUGGUCUGAUCAGUCCUUCUGUGUCCUAGUAGGCUCCCCCAUUGACUUGAGGAACCAGAUCUGUAUCUGCUUUAGAUAUGAGAUUCAUGGACUGAUAGUUGAAAUUAGGGACCUGUAUUAUGUAGUUGAGUUGAGCCUCUCAAAAUAGCCAUAAGGAGUUCAUAUAUCCAUAUGGCAAAGUAAGAUAGGUAGCUGAAUCCUUUAAGCUUAAACUUAUGAAUCUGUACAAGUAAUGUACAAAUAAUGCCCUUUUGGGAUAUAAAGUAACUACAAAGUUAUUUGAAUGAUCUCAUUUGUAUUAUAGUAAAUGAACAAAGGAUUACACUCAUCUUUACAUUGUCAGUAUUUUUCUAAUGCAGAAGAGGCAUUUGUUAAUAGGGAAUAUGGAGUCUUUGACAUUUUGGGUCCCAAUCCUUCAGUGAAGCUAGUCAUGCACCUGCUUAUUUGUGCACAAAUCAUUCUAAUGAAUUCUAAAGGACUAUUCAUGUGCAUAAAGCUAAGCCUGUGUGUAAAAGCCUUUGCAAGACUGGGCCUAGGUUGUAAGUUUGAUAAUGACCUGAGACUGAUUCAGCAGAGAAAAAACAGUCCUUUUAAAAAGUUGAGGAGUGUAACUCCAGCUCAGCUGAACAGGUAUGGGCAGUGCUAAAAGACAAAACUCUAAAAACUGAUCAAGAAAAAAUGGGAAGAGAUAUAAAUCUUUUUUUAAUUUAUAUUUUAUAAUACUGCAUUUUACCUUAAUCUUAUUAAUUCUUGGCUGCAUUUUAUUUUCAUUAUGGCUAUGAAUUCGAUUUGAAUAACUUUAUGUCAGGAGCUUAGAAAUUUCCUGUUUUAAUUUCAUGCAUAUAGAUAUAUACAUAUAUAUAGCCUGUGUGGAAGAGUAGAUCCACUUAGAGAAUGGUAGCUGUGAGAAAUCAUAACUAGACUCUUCAGGAAAUUUUUGCUUAAGGAGAAGUCAAGACAUCAACACUGUUUCAGAAAGAAGUGUACAGAAGAGCUUUGUGCACUUAUUUGUUUGUACCAUGCAAUAUUCUGCCUUCUGCUGCAUUUUGUGCUGCACUGCAGCAGUUUAUGUUCUCAGAGACAGCACAACACCUGCAGGAGCCUCCGAACAACAUCAGGGGAAUUCCAGUCAUUGUGACGCAUCUCCUGAAACCAUUUUCUAGAUAUUCCUUCCAUGAGUUGCUUCCAUCAGGAACUUCCAUAGAAUUUGGUAAAGACUUUUCAUGUGUUUAAUAUUAAACACACAGGCAGUGCUACUGAAAGUACCAUGAAAAAUAAAUGAAAUUACUUAAAUAUAAACUGAGUUCCUGCUUGGGCCUAUGGUGUUUGGCAUUUGAUAUGGCAGCCUAGAAGAUGGACAUUUGACAGGCCACAAUAGACUGCUCCUUUCCCAGAUUACAAAAACCUAGUAACUCCCCCUUGUGUUGUCUCCGAAGGAUUCUUUGGAAGAAGGCAUCUAACAGUUCCUGUGAAAGACAUCAAUGGAAUCCUCACUUUCAAGAAAAUCACAAUUAGAGGCUGGAAAAAGAUUAAAGAGAUACAGAAUUGCUGUCAUGAAGCUUUCAACAUGAAGCUUGACAUUCAAAUUGAAAUCUCAAACUGCUACUGAUAUUGGAGAGGAAACAGAAAAGGAUUAGAAGAAGAAAUAGUGGAGAAUUUUUUCACUAAAUCUAUUCUGGAUUAUAUUAUGUACUUGGGUCUUGUGGUAGUGAUAUGUUUAAUGCAAAUUGACACAAUAAUGAACUUUGCUUAACUUUGCUGAGCAGAUAUUAUAGUACUCUGAAUUUCAUUGAUAUCUAUAUAUCCCUAUUUAAAUUCCAUAAUUUCACAUAAUAAAAUAUAUUUCUAUCAAGUGUGUUGCACAAUUAAUCUUAGAUACUUUAGCUACAGUUUGUCUUAGUUAAGAAUUUCAAGAAGGGUUACUUCUUGCAGUCUUGGGUGUCUCCCAUUUUUUCAUGUUAAUUUUGGGACUUCUUUAAAAUGGGAUUGAUUUUCAGAGGUGGAAGUACUCACCUGCUUUCUGUAG